GUAAAAUAAGGAGCUCAGAGAGUACAAAAUAUGAGCAUUUUCUGGAUGGGAGCAGGCUGUGACCAGCAAUCCUGGAUGCAGUUGCUGAGUUUUAGAGAGCCAAGAAACUGCUGCUCUUCUGAAUUGAAGCAUAAGCAUAUGAAGCUCACUAGGACAAUAAGAGACAGAUCUAGCAGUUGAACAUUAUUUGUCAGAAAAUGUGGGAGUUCGAGUGCAACUGCUUGUGAAGUACCUAGUUGGAGUGUCGCAGGCUC